rnacentral:rRNA from 1 species
UACGUAUGUCGCAAGCGUUAUCCGGAUUUAUUGGGCGUAAAGCGCGUCUAGGCGGCUUAGUAAGUCUGAUGUGAAAAUGCGGGGCUCAACCCCGUAUUGCGUUGGAAACUGCUAAACUAGAGUACUGGAGAGGUAGGCGGAACUACAAGUGUAGAGGUGAAAUUCGUAGAUAUUUGUAGGAAUGCCGAUGGGGAAGCCAGCUUACGGGACAGAUACUGACGCUAAAGCGCGAAAGCGUGGGGAGCAAACAGAAUUAGAUUCCCUGUUAGUCCACGCCGUAAACGAUGAUUACUAGGUGUUGGGGGUCGAACCUCAGCGCCCAAGCUAACGCGAUAAGUAAUCCGCCUGGGGAGUACGUACGCAAGUAUGAAACUCAAAUGAAUUGACGGGG